rnacentral:misc_RNA from 1 species
AAGUCGUAACAAGGUUUCCGUAGGUGAACCUGCGGAAGGAUCAUUAACACUCUCUCUAUUUAUUACAUACAUAUGUGCAUUGUUACAGUCCCUGCGAGUAAUUAGAUGACGAUUGUAAGUCAUGGUGGAGUUAAUUAUUAAAACCAAUUAACUGACUCGUCGUCUGAUUGUCCAUUGAAUUGAGAAUAUUGAUUCAAAUGAGGCAAUGAUCUAACUCUCCAGGCAUUACAGUCCCUGCCAUGGCUGGCCCAUAUUUCUUUUAACCCCUGCUAUUUUGCACUGAUUUGUGAUAAGAGGAAGUUUAACUUCUAAUUAUCAUUUUAAUACUAUUAUUCCAAUAUUUAUAUUCGAAUGAUAUUAUUAUACAUUAACAAAACACAACUCUUACCAGCGGAUAUCUCGGUUCCCUUAACGAUGAAGAACGCAGC